rnacentral:misc_RNA from 1 species
GCGCGCGUGUGCGUGUGUAAAUAGGUGUGUUGUGUGUGUACACAUGACAUAAAAUAUCAAUUUACUUUUUUUGCUGACAUGGUAUAAUUUAAUAAAGUUUGAAAUGCUUUUAAAAAUAGGAGUAAUAUAGAAUCGUAGAAAGAAAAUAUACAGAGGGUGUCCUAAAACGUGGGUCAACGCUCGUAAAAAUGUAGAAGGGAUCGAGAUGAACAAAAAAAUCUUGCUUAGGUCUAAGCUGUGCUACAACUUAGGCGGUCCGAGCCUGCCUCUCUGCGCGCUCUUAUUAGUAUGAGUUGUAACAUUUUAAUGACUCAAUAAUUUUUGCAAAUAUCGCAAAAUAGUAGAAGAUUUUUUGUUCAUCUCGAUCCCUUCUACCUUUUUACGAGCGUUGACCCACCUGUUUUAGGACACCUUGUAUAAUUAUUCAUUUCUAUACAUAUAUAUACUUACAUAUAUAAUAAAUAAAUAAAUAAUUAUUAUAUAUAUAUAUAUAUAUAUAAAGAAUUAAGAAGAUUAAUGAAAGGGACAAUAUUUUAACAUUUAGUAAAUAUACGUGUUUAGAAUUGUAAAAGCAGUUUAUCAGAGGUAGAUUCUGUAUUUCUGAAGAAAGUGAAAAUGUGAAAAGUGAGUAGCACUGUCUCCAUUGAUUGGUGUAUACUUUUAGGAUUAACGAUAUACACUACCAAUCACUGUUGUUCACUUUUCUUAUUUUCACUUCUUCAAAAAUACAGAAUCGAUCUCUAAAGAGUAAGAAUAUUUAUGACGUCAAGUAUAUUUGUAAAAUUUGCUAUCGAUAUAAAUAAAGGAAUAAACGAUUUAGUAACAAUAAUAUAACCACUUUUGAGAUAAUGUCGGUUAGAAUAGAAAGACAAAGGAUUCUCAAACCUUACUUAGGUGGAUGGCGACAUAAAAUUACUGGAGUAAAAUAUGUAAAUGCAACUUCCCAGACUGGGCCUUUGUCAAAACUAGUACCAUGGAAGAACACAUAUAGUAGAUCAGUGCAAUGCAUGCAAACGAAAGACGAAGCAACACAAUCACUACGUCAUUGCGCGACGCAAAUGUGGCGGGACGACUAUUAUGUACCUAACGAUGCGGAUAAAUAUAUGACUGUAAAGUGUUAUGAGAAUUACGCUGAUAUGCAGCUUAAUUUAGAUCGGCAUGCACGUGUAAUUCAGAGAAAUUACCGAGCAUACAAAUGGCGAAAAUAUAUCAAGAAAUGUGCGCAAGCUUAUCGUAACAUACUUGAGGACUGCAAGAGCUACGAAGAAGAGAAAGCUAUAGCAAAUAAAUUGCGGCAUAAACAGAAUAUUCUUCGCCAAAUAUAUCCGCAAUCGAGAGCGGAUUUUGACAUGCUUUACAAUCUGGUUGAAAGAUGGAGGAUAGAUCGUUUGAAGGAUGUAAAAUCGCGAUUUUUUAAGGCAUGUCAACGUACCGAGCGUUACAGAAUUUUAGAAAAAACAGUGGAGAUGCUCAAUCACAUCGAUAAACAUAAACAAGCCAUCAAGAAAUCGUAUCAAAAACAAAGAGCACUCAGAUUUUUAACAUUGAAUUGCAAGCCAAUACGAUGGAAUGGAUACAAGGGUAAACUUGUGGAAAUGGUUACUAUAAAAAUUCAAAAGGCUCGAGAAUUUAAAGAAAUUUAUAACGCAUUGAACAAUUGUGACGCUAGUUCAGAGGAACGCGUGAAAUUAUUGACAACAUUGAAAAAGUCAAUUGAGCCGCACAAUUGUAUAGAGGCCCUUGAUUUAUCGUCUUUAUUAGAUCAAGAAAUUGCGUUGUUAAAUCAAAAGAUUGAGGAUUUAUCGCUCGAUUAUUUAAACGAAAGAAUAACACACACAUACUUGAAUUUUGUAAGAAUGUAUGGUAUUUGCGGUUGCGAAUGUGUCAUUGGGGAUUCUAAAGACAACGAAUUGCGAGAACCUUUGGAAACAGAAACAAAAUUUUGCCGGAAUUGUUUGAGACUUCUUCCCAUACGUAGAUUUUUACCACACACUAGAAUGACAAAGCUGACAAUUUGCAGCAGCUGCAGUUCUCUAAGUCAACGUAAUAUUGCACAUGUGGAUUACGAUCCUUACAUGUUUAUAUUAAAUUGCGUACGUGCUGAGGAGAAACGUCGAGGCAGCGCUUUUGCUUUGGCAUUUAUGAUGCAAGAGCAAGAUAUUUAUUAUUUAGUUAAUCAUAUCUGGCAAGGUCAAUCGGCAAUCAGCAAAAUUAGCGAUCUUUUCCUUUUAAGAAUGGUUAGAUAUCAAAAGAAUGUCGAAUGGGCACCUUGGAACUGUAUUCUUCUUACAAAAGACGAAGCCGACAUACACUAUUACAUUAAUGAUCUUGCUAUGAUAUAUUCCAAGCAUUUGAUAAACAAGAUUAAUUUGAGACAUCAGAUUGCAAAGAAUUAUUUUAAACAGUUAAUUAUUUUCGAAAAAGAUUUUCGAGAAUCUUGUCGCUUUUCAAAGAUCCAAAGUGGAAUAAAGUAUAAACCACCAGUAACAGUGGAAAAUUAUGAUUUUUCUAAAAAAUAUAAAAAAUAUAAAAAAUACAAGCUGUGAGAAAAAGUUUCAUCACUCCAAUUAAAUCUCUUCGUAAUAUUUUUCAAUCAAUUCAACUUUAAUGUGUCGGACCAUUGCAUCUAUUACAAACUAUAUAUUGGUAUGGUGAUUGGUCGAAAUUUAAUAAACUUUUAUUACAAAUAAAAUACACUUUACAAAAGUUUUAUUUCGUCAUCGGAUUUCACUGUAUUUUGUUUGUCUAAAUAUUGUCUGAAUAAAAUGUGCGGUUUAUUUACAUAUGAAUUCAUAAAAAGAGAAAAAGCAAAAUAAAAAAAGCUUUGAUAUGUUUUCACAGUUAUUACAAAUUGGAAAUUGAUUAGAGUUAGUUAAUAUUUUAAAAUUUUAUUAUUAACUGAUAAAAUUUUAUCUAAUAUUAUCUUAUUUCUUAUGUUAAUCUCAUGUGUAAUAACAGUAAUGCAUAAACGGUAGAAAUCGUUAUUAUUACUAUCUUAUAUGAACUGCGUGCCGUUGGGUUUAAAAAUCUAUUAAAUAUUAUAAAAAACGUGAAACAAUACUAUCAAAACUGUUACAUUAUUCGAUAGAAAACACUUUCUGGUUUAUGUUUUUAAACAAUAACUGAAAUUGAAUCGAUGAAAAUAUUAAACAUAAAGAUGAAGAUAAUAUAUAUAUAAAAUUUGAAAAAAGAAAUUGUUAAUGAAAUUAAUAGAUUUUUAUUAUAAAUUACAUUUAUUGUAGCAAUAUAUACAUUUUAUGUGCGUCUAUCAUAUAUCAAUUUAUUAUUAAGAAAAGUAUGAAUUUUUCUGAACUGCCGAUACGUAUUGUUCAAGUCUCCGGAGAAAUAACAGAAAAGGUUUUUACGACUAUCGUAUAUGCAACGUUGCUCUGAGAAUCGGGUGAUAUUGCUCGGAUGCAACUGGCGAUAGUGAAAGCUUUUACGUAAGGAAUGUACACCAACGGCGGUAAAAACGGUUUUUGCACUAUAAAAGCUAUUGCGUAACGGGAUAUAAAUUGUUCGUUGUUCCAGAGCCAGGCACCGUUCGCUAUCGCAUCACUUUAUCGUCGUAAUACAAUCUGGCUUAUACUUGCAUUGCAAAUAUCUACUACCCUUAAUUAGUCCCGCGGGCGAAUAAUUCGAAUCCCGUUUUACGUUCAAUGCAAUUUGUUAAAGUGGAAAUUGAAAAAAGAAGAGGAAAACGGUAAUUAUCGAAACUCUCGAAGCGUAUCCAGAUCAACUUGAGAGUUUAGUUUAACUUAAUAUUAAGAAAACGUCGGAACACACGUAUCGUGAAAGCUUAUCAAUUUUGAUACUCUUGAGGUUUUAAGGCGCAUGUGUGGCCUAAAUGCGUUAUAUAUGCAUCUUACAGAGAACGCUGAAAGCGGAGAUGUAUGAAUGCCGUCGAAAAUUCUCUGCCCUAGGGCGCAUAAUGUCCGCCACAUACAGUCUGAAUUCAUAUCCGUCGCGGAGGCUUUUGAACCGAGGAACACAAAAUCGAAAAAUAAUGGACAAGAGAAGGCUUUUGACCGAUCGACCAAGCACGUUGCCGUUGGCAACGUUGGAUUUAAGGCUUUGAGCUUUCAGGUGCCGCGCUGCGGAGUCUCGCAUAUGGGGGGUAGGUAGUACGUAGGUAGCAUUAAAAGCUACUCUUCGACGCGAUCUACUUAUCCCAUUGGAUCGCGAGUGUCAAAAUUUGAUCGACGAUGUGCACCACUUUGCGCAGCAACUCAGUUUAAUCCGACUAAAUCGUUCAAUCUUUCGCGAAAUGCAAUCGCUUUGCGAUAAAAGCAUUUUUACGGGCGAUGAUAUAAUUUUAGUAAAUCACAUAAAACCGUAUUAGAAUUAUAAAGUUAUACGAAGGUGUUUAAAGAUUUUAUUUAAAUUAUGAAAUUCUUGUGAUAUUGCGGCAACAAAGUGCUUUGCGUUGCUCUCGGUAAGUCUCAAUAAAUUUUCUUUCGCUAAUUUCCAAGGUAUUUAUUUUGAGAGUUUAUUAUAAAUUUUCAUAGCAGAGAAAAUUGCUAGCAGAGAGGUUCCAACACAAUGAACGCUGUAGCAGUAUCGACAAAAAUAAGCUGCAUUAAUAAUAAAUAGUAUCUGGUAUAUAAGAUCAUAAAGUAUAUAACACAAUUAAAAUCAUAAGGUCAACGAACAGUUAUAAUCUUAAAAGUUGAAUCAGAAUAAGUUAAGCCAGAAUAUCCCAAUAUUAAUUUGAUAAUCAAUUUAAUAUUAUGACAUUACUAUUCUGAUUCAAGACGAAAUACAUUAUUGAGCGACUAAAAUCUGUGUUAUAACUGUUCUCGUUUUGGUCUUACUUAGAUUUAAAAAAUGCAUUAAUAUUUAUGUACCGCAAAUAAUUGCACCGCGAAGCAAUUAAAUUCGAUAAAUGUAAGGAUUUUUCGUAAUAUUCGGAUCCCCAAUCAUUAUUGACGCUCUCAUAUUCCUCGGGUAUCCAAUUAAGGGUGCACUCUUAUAAAAACGGAAAACAAGCACUUUUUUCUUUGCAUUUGCUACAUUUGUGUUAAUUACUUUCCUUGUGGAAUUACGCUGUUCACCGUGUGUUUCCAUCAACAUUCAUUUCUUGCUACGAAAUCAUUCAUGAGAGGUGCAAUCGAUCGACUCGUUUGUUUAUUCUCUUCUUUCAUCAUUGUGCGCUAACAAAGCUGCACCAGUUACGUCGAUAUGUUAUUACACGUGUUGCGUAUAAAACGAUUUUCAAUUGUGAUUUCAUUUUUCAAAUCUUUUUUCUUUGUAAAAUAGUUUUGAUGUAAAAGAGACUGGCUGGUCAGAUUAUUAAAGAAGCAUUAGCUUUCGUAAUAUGAAACCAUUUUCCGUUCCAUCGAUUACCAAUGUGGGUACACUGGAAGGCGUGGUACUUCAUAAAAUUCAGCUUUCCAUCAAAAAUCCUUCGUACCUCAAUAGACCUUUUCUUUCCCUUCGUUCCCUUUAAAGCGCUGUAUAUUCAGACAUUUUAUAGAGUGCUUUACAAAUGGAAAUUGUAGAAUUACUUUAUAUAUGCAUUAUGUUUUUAUAGGAUAAUCUCGUAGAUUUAUUAUAAGAUAAUUAAAUGUCAAACAUAAAGAUGAGAGAGUCUAUAGCGAAUUUUGGUAUUAAUAUUUUAAUAAUAUUUUUUGUUUGAAUUUUUACAAGCUCACGUGAACUGCACGCUGCGUAUUCGUUGGUCGUGAAACACAGUCUUUUUAUAAUUUUUUUAAUGUUUUUGAGCAUUUACUCGUUAAUUAAUUUAUGAUAUUAUAUUUCGACAAAGACUGUGUUUCGAGACCGACGAAUAGGUCGCGCACAGUUGAAGAUUGUAAAAAUUUAUACAAAAAUUAUUAUUUAGUACCAAAACGGCUAUAAAUCGAUAUUGGCGCUCUCAUUUUUAAAUAUGACAUUUUCAUCAAUUCAUAAUCUUAUUACUGUUGAUAAAUUAUAUGUUUACGAUAGAAAAUAUUUUACUGACGGAAGUAAAAAUAAAUAAAAACAAGUGAAAACAAAUUAUAGACUUUUACAUAAAAAAAAAAAAAAA